GAGUCCUAAUUAGACUAUAUUUUAAAUGAUAGAGCAAGGAAAACUGAAAUUCGGGCUAAAAUGGGGAAAAUACCAAGUGGUGGACGAAAUGGUAAAAAUAGCCAUUUUCGCAUACGAGUGUUGACAAGCCAGCUCGGAAAUCGGAAACGGUCGGAGGCACGCUCACACUAUCCGUAUACCAUCUUGGCAUAAUGGCUUGUAUAUUUUGAGUAUGGCAUGUAUAGCAUUAUAAUCAUUUUAUAUGUAUGGUCUUAUGAUAUGGUUA